CACUCUUCUCGGCCUCUUGGCUAAGAUCAAGUGUAGUAUCUGUUCUUAUCAGUUUGAUCUCUGGUAUGCCGGUCACUGACCGGCACAAUGAUCAAAUUGAUUUUUCUCCGGGGCUGUCUGCGCUGGCUUGCCAGCGCAACAGCGCUCGUGGUUCCACGCUUGCACGUUCGAGGAAUCGCGCACCCGUC
rfam:Emiliania huxleyi CCMP1516 EMIHTscaffold_428_Cont7639, whole genome shotgun sequence.